CUGAGCAUACCUACCUGGCAACAGAUGGAGGCCAUAGUCAGGCGGAGUGCCUCCCCUGCCCUGCUGGGUACCACUGCCCAUGGCCAGGUCUCUCUUCCUUUGAAGACCACCCAUGUCCUCCGGGCCACUGGUGUCUAGGUGACCAGGGUGCCUUUUUCUGCCCACCUGGCACCUUUAGGUCAGAGCCAGGGGCAUCAGCACAGGAAGACUGUGAGCUCUGCCCUCCUGGCUACCACUGCCCAGACCCUGAGCUUCAGGGUCAUGCAAAUGUGUUUGCCAUCCCCUGCCCAGCUGGAUCUGAGUGCCCAGCAGGUGAGCUGUGGCCUCAGUGCCACUGCCCUGUGCGUCCUCAUCAGAGCUCCCACCUCCACCUCAUGAAAUGCAUCCUCCUUCCCC